rnacentral:rRNA from 1 species
UACGUAGGGGGCAAGCGUUGUCCGGAAUCAUUGGGCGUAAAGCGCGUGUAGGCGGUCCGGUAAGUCUGCUGUGAAAGUCGGGGGGCUCAACCCUCGAAUGCCGGUGGAUACUGUCGGGCUAGAGUGCGGAAGAGGCGAGUGGAAUUCCUGGUGUAGCGGUGAAAUGCGCAGAUAUCAGGAGGAACACCAAUUGCGAAGGCAGCUCGCUGGGACGUUACUGACGCUGAGACGCGAAAGCGUGGGGGAGCAAACAGG